GCCUGGGUAGCUCAGUCGGUUAAGCGUCUGACUUCGGCUCAGGUCAUGAUCUUGUGGUUUGUGGGUUCCAGCCCCACAUCAGGCC
rnacentral:tRNA from 1 species